CAGUAGCCACGGGAACACGGAGGGUGCAAGCGUUAAUCGGAAUUACUGGGCGUAAAGCGCACGCAGGCGGUCUGACAAGUCAGAUGUGAAAUCCCCGGGCUUAACCUGGGAACUGCAUUUGAAACUGUCAGGCUGGAGUCUUGUAGAGGGGGGUAGAAUUCCAGGUGUAGCGGUGAAAUGCGUAGAGAUCUGGAGGAAUACCGGUGGCGAAGGCGGCCCCCUGGACAAAGACUGACGCUCAGGUGCGAAAGCGUGGGGAGCAAACAGGAUUAGAUACCCCAGUAGUCCCUGUCUCUUAUAC
rnacentral:rRNA from 1 species